GUAGGUGAACCUGCGGAAGGAUCAUUAACACUUCUAAAAAACAAAAACUUUAAACUUAAAUACGGGAACCUCAUCGUGCUCGACAUGAAGAGGGAGCAGGCACGAACGUGUCAGCUUGAACACAAAUAUCUUAAACAUAAGAUCAAUGACUUGUCAUGAGUCGGAGAUCGAACUUUCAAUCUUAACCCCAAAACUUUUAACCCCCAUAACCCAAACCAAAACCCAUAACUAAUUGACUAAUCAUAACCAU
rnacentral:misc_RNA from 1 species